rnacentral:tRNA from 1 species
GGCCUAGUAGCUCAGCUGAUAGAGCACUUGCAGUACUAAAGCGAGGAUGGUAACCAUGAGUGGGUUCGAAUCCCGCCGGGGCCA